rnacentral:rRNA from 1 species
AAUAGAACCCAGGUAGUCCACGCCGUAAACGAUGUCGACUUGGAGGUUGUUCCCUUGAGGAGUGGCUUCCGGAGCUAACGCGUUAAGUCGACCGCCUGGGGAGUACGGCCGCAAGGUUAAAACUCAAAUGAAUUGACGGGGGCCCGCACAAGCGGUGGAGCAUGUGGUUUAAUUCGAUGCAACGCGAAGAACCUUACCUACUCUUGACAUCCAGAGAACUUAGCAGAGAUGCUUUGGUGCCUUCGGGAACUCUGAGACAGGUGCUGCAUGGCUGUCGUCAGCUCGUGUUGUGAAAUGUUGGGUUAAGUCCCGCAACGAGCGCAACCCUUAUCCUUUGUUGCCAACGGUUCGGCCGGGAACUCAAAGGAGACUGCCAGUGAUAAACUGGAGGAGGUGGGAUGACGUCAAGUCAUCAUGGCCCUUACGAGUAGGGCUACACACGUGCUACAAUGGCGUAUACAAAGAGAAGCGACCUCGCGAGAGCAAGCGGACCUCAUAAAGUACGUCGUAGUCCGGAUUGGAGUCUGCAACUCGACUCC